rnacentral:rRNA from 1 species
UACAGAGGGUGCGAGCGUUAAUCGGAAUUACUGGGCGUAAAGGGCGCGUAGGCGGCCAUGCGUGUCUUCCGUGAAAUCCCUCGGCUUAACUGAGGACGUGCGGAAGAAACUGCAAGGCUCGAGUCCGGGAGAGGGGGGUGGAAUUCCCAGUGUAGCGGUGAAAUGCGUAGAUAUUGGGAGGAACACCGGUGGCGAAGGCGGCCCCCUGGACCGGUACUGACGCUGAGGCGCGAAAGCGUGGGUAGCAAACGGG